AACCCACUGAGCUACACAGACUACUAGAGCUAUUUCUCCACAGCAGUUUUCCCUUCUGAAGCUGAACAGCAGCAAGAGACCACAAGGAGGCAGAGAGGCA